AGCCUCGUUUGCCUCUUCGUUUUUGGCCGUUUUUGCAGCUUUUGCAGCCCGCUUCCUAUCUUUCAUGGGUUGGACGUUCCUCUUCCUUUUUGGUGUAGGUAAAACGAAAUCAUCUACAUAAGCUUCGUUUCCAUCUGCAUUUUACUUACCAGACUUGCUGUCGUCAUUUUUCUCUCUCUCAUUACCUGGUAGUAUGAUUUCAGCAAUAAUUUAAAACAAGGCUCCGCAUCCUCCACUUCUAGUUCUUGGUCUUCAGGAUCGUAGUCAGUAAAACAAUCAAACAAUAUGUCUUCUUUAAAUUUUAGGCCAUUCUUUUUUCUUGUUUCGUGGAAUUGUGAGAAAUGGACUAUCUGAGUCUGGAUACUGGAUAGUCAUGAUCAGAAAGGGAGUCCCCCAAUAACUCUGCCUCUGGCAUAUGGUCAAGGCUGGAUGUUUUUCACCAAACCUGAAAGUUAAAUUUUGCUUGUUAAGUAAAGGAUUCUGCCCUAAGUUAGAUAAUUGGAAAGACUGAAAACUUUUUGAUUCGAUUUCAACUUUUUAUCGUUCAUUUCUUGUUCUUUCUUCGCCCACUUUAUCUCUCACUUUUCCGCAAUUCUCUUGGAUAUUAUUAUCGUCUUGAUUUCCUCCUUCAUGGAGUCUUGGCAUCUCUCGUUGUUGAUGGGCACUUUUUCAGCUGUUUUCCCCCCAUUCUUUGACUACUGUACUAUGUCUCUUUCGCUGGCUCGUACCAUUCACGAAGUUCGUCGUCUCCCAUCCAGGGUAAGUCUAUUGCUCAAUCUUUUAACUUUCCUGCCGGUUUUCGCAGAAAUCCUCUUGCCUAUAACAAGUACUGUGAAUUGGGUAGGUAACCUAUAAUUCAACUGAAUUUUAAUAAUCUCGAUGAUCUUUUACUACGACAGUUCACAGAGCUCUUCCUGUUUAAGCAUGUUAAAAAUUCUCGGUACUGUCUCAAGAAUGUCUGUACUGAGAUCCAAUUGGAAUCCCAGUCAUCACAGUGUUCUUUUAUUCUCUGAUUCCAGGUUUUCUGUUUUCUUUCAGGUUCAGGACUAGGGAGCAUGGUUUUCUCUAACAUUUCACUCAGCAUAUCCAUUUUUGGAAUUUCCAAUUGAAGCAUUUCAGUUUUUUCUACGUUGAUUUCUUUCACACUGGUUGAACUAGAAACCGCAGUAUCACUAGCGGCUACACGCAAAUCUUCAUCCUCUAUUGGAUUGUCGUUGUAAAACUCUUUACUUUUGACAAAUUUUUUUGUUUUCUUCUCGCCAUUUAUAAUUUUUUAUUUCUUUUUAAAAACACCCAGUUUGCGAAUACCUUUUCCUGAAAAAAGCUGUUUUAAACUUUUAAGUUAAGCCUGUACAUUUUCUUUUUGCCUUCGAGAAUUAUAGUUAAUAAGGGAUGUGCCACUAAUCGUUUUAACGACAUAAUUACCGAUAAUUUUUUUCAGAAACGUUACCUUGCAAAACUUUUUCCAUUUUUCUGUUUCUUGACUCAAGCGAUAAACAAUUUAAUAGCAGAAAAAUACAAAAAUCAUAAACCA